CUAUAGUCUCCCGUAAUCAAUACAGUCCUCUAUAAAACACACGUUUUGGCACAAUACUACUACACUUUUAUGGAAGAAAUGAUCUGGGCUUGUACGGGUUGGGCCUAUUGUACGAUAUGGGCUAGCACCAACCAACCCAAAUGGCUAUUGUGGGAUCCACCGGUUUUAGGGUUUUACCAGGGCAUAGAGGCGAUGCAGUGGCACUCCUGCGAUGGAUAACUGCAAUUCCAUCAAGAAUUGAACAUGGAAAUCCAGGAGCCGGACCCCAAAAGACCAAAAAUGUCCCAAACCACCACCACCUCCGAUGACGAAGACUGCGACACCACCACCGCGACCAAAAAGCCCAGAUACAAGCGCCGCAAGAUCGCCAUCUUCUUCGCAUACUGUGGCGUGGGCUACCAAGGCAUGCAGAAAAACCCCGGAGCCAAAACCAUCGAAGGGGACCUCGAAGAAGCCCUCUUCUUCUCGGGCGCCGUCCCCGAGCAAGACCGCGGACACCCCAAGCGAUUCGACUGGGCUCGGUCCGCUCGAACCGAUAAGGGCGUCAGCGCAGUGGGUCAAGUAGUCUCAGGCCGGUUCUACAUUGAUCCACCCGGCCUAGUCGAGCGCCUGAAUUCGAAUCUCCCUCCCCAGUUUCGGAUCUUUGGGUUUAAGCGAGUGACGGCGUCGUUUAAUGCCAAGAAAUUCUGUGAUCGCAGGAGGUAUGUGUAUCUUAUUCCAGUGUUUGCUCUUGAUCCCAGUUCGCAUCCUGAUAGAGAGAGUGUCUUGGCUAGUGUGGGGUCUGAAAAUGAGCUUGUUAAGUGCUUGGAGUGUUCUGAGAGAGGUCGUAAAGUCGUAGGUAUAAUGGGUAAACGUAGUUUCGAAUCGAAAGUUUCAGUAGAUGAUAGGGAAGAUGUAGAAGGUGAAUCUAAAAACAUUGUUCAGUUGGGCAUUCCAUCGAACGAUGAAGCUGCAAUAUUGAACUCUGAAGUACAAGAAGAGAUUAAGGCCACUUCAAACAACAACAACAUAGAUGCUAAUAAUUCAAUUUCUGAAAUGAUAAAGGAAGAAGCCGCAAUCUUGAGCUCUGAAGUUGAUGCAGAGAUUAUCAAUGGUGAAAAUUCAAUUUCUGAACCCGUCAAGGUAGGAGCUGCAAUAUUGAAAUCUGAAGCUAAAGAAGAGAGUAUGGCUUCCUCGGACAACAGACAUGAUGGUAAUUCAAUCUCUCAACCUAUAAAGGAAGGCUCGUGUUUUCAGGACAAUGGGACCUCUGAAUCGACCCCUGAUAGUAGGGCUUCUGCACAAAACGAGCCUGGUGUUUCUCAUUCUGAACAGUCUGACAAGGGAAAGAAUAAGCUUGAGAAGGGAAGUGGGUUUUGUUAUGGCGACAAGGAGAGGGAGAGAUUCAAUAGAAUUCUGGGUCAUUAUGUUGGAACUCAUAACUUCCACAACUUCACCACCAGAAUUAAAGCCGAGGAUCCCUCCGCCCAACGCUUCAUUGUUUCAUUUGAUGGCAACACCAUUGUCACUGUAGAAGGCAUCGAAUUUGUGAAGUGUGAAGUUGUGGGGCAGAGCUUCAUGCUUCAUCAGAUUCGGAAGAUGAUUGGUCUUGCAGUAGCAAUCAUGAGAAACGUUGCCCCUGAGUCCUUGCUAGAAACAGCUCUACUAAAGGAUGUUAACAUCAAUGUGCCCACGGCCCCUGAAGUUGGCUUAUACCUGGACGAGUGUUUCUUCUCAUCCUACAACAAGAAAUGGAGAGACAGCCAUGAAGAGGUAUCCAUGAAAGCCUAUGCAGAAGAGGCAGAAGAGUUCAAGAUGAAGCAUAUCUACUCCCAUAUCGCAGCAACAGAACAUAAGGAAGGAGUUGUGGCCCUCUGGCUGCAUUCUCUGAACCACCGCAACUACCCCGAUUUAUGCAUUGGGGACAAUGGAGCUGCCUCUGAUGGGAAAAACGGUGAAGAGGAAACAAUGGCUGACUGAAUUGUCUUGCACUAGUGGCUGGAAAGUGGGUACUAGGAAAGGGAGCACUGAAGAAAAAUUUUAUUUCAGCUUCAAUGAAUGAUAAACUGUUCAAUGGUUUUUUGGAAGCUGGAAACAGAGAGACAUAGCAGCUUUGAAACUACUUGCCAGCUCACCAAAAAUAACAAACUUAUAUAACAAACCCUCUUAUUAAAAUAUAUGGCUAUUUCUAAUACUCCUCCUCGAGAUGGAGAAUGAAUAUUAUUAUGAAUGCCCAUCUUGCUUAACAGAGCCAUGAAUUGAGCAGGGAAGAGAGGUUUGGUUAACAAGUCUACUACUUGAUGUUGAGAAGAGACAUGGGGUGUUUUGAGGCAACCAUUUUUAAUCUUCUCUCUUACAAGAUCUUUGAGAAGAGAGAGCAGCCACACUAACUCACAUGUUGCAUUGGCCAUGGACAUGUAUUCAACUUCUGCUGAUGAUCUUGAUACGGUGUGUUGUUUCUUUGAUUUCUAAGAAACUAAAGAAUCUCCAGUAAAAACGUAGAAACCACUAAUAGAUUUUUUUUGUAUCCCGACAAGCACUCCAAUUUGAAUCUGCAUAUGCUUUUAAUUCAACCAACGAGGAAGAGGAAAGAAAAGACCUUGUCCAACUGUGGUCUUGAUGUACUGAAGCACUCUGUGAACUGCUUGCAAGUGGGGAACCCUCGGUUUUGCAAGAAACUGACUUAGGCGAUUUACUGCAAAAGACAAAUCUGGUCUCGUGAUAGUGAGAUACAAAAGUUUCCCAUUCAUUCGUCUAUAUUCUGAUGGAGCCACAAGUAGCACUCUCUCAUCCUGUGAGAGCUUAACAUUGGGGUCCAUAGGCGUUUUUCUGGUCUUACAGCCAAGAUAUCCUGUAUCAAAUAGAAACCGUAAUGCAUAAUGUCUUUGAUUUAGGGAAAUUCCCUUUGUGGACCAAG